rnacentral:rRNA from 1 species
ACGGGAGGCAGCAGUAGGGAAUCUUCGGCAAUGGGGGGAACCCUGACCGAGCAACGCCGCGUGAGUGAAGAAGGUUUUCGGAUCGUAAAGCUCUGUUGUAAGAGAAGAAUGUUGGUGAGAGUGGAAAGUUCACCAAGUGACGGUAUCUUACCAGAAAGGGACGGCUAACUACGUGCCAGCAGCCGCGGUAAUACGUAGGUCCCGAGCGUUGUCCGGAUUUAUUGGGCGUAAAGCGAGCGCAGGCGGUUUCGUAAGUCUGAGGUCAAAGGCAUUGGCUCAACCAAUGUACGCCUUGGAAACUGCGGAACUUGAGUGCAGAAGGGGAGAGUGGAAUUCCAUGUGUAGCGGUGAAAUGCGUAGAUAUAUGGAGGAACACCGGUGGCGAAAGCGGCUCUCUGGUCUGUAACUGACGCUGAGGCUCGAAAGCGUGGGUAGCGAACAGGAUUAGAUACCCUGGUA